rfam:Methylobacterium sp. Leaf456 contig_15, whole genome shotgun sequence.
GGCCUCUUUUGCGAUGGCGGAGCUCGACCGCCGGUCGCGGCCAUGAUGGCCUUCAUCGACGAUCAUCGAGAGGCCUACGGGGUCGUCCUUCGACAGGCUCAGGAUGAGGGCUCUGGAGCAGGCCCUG